ACUGAAAACUGGGCUUUAUCAUUCCCAUACAAUUCCUUAAAUCCAGCUACCACAACUCCAUGAAAGUCCAAAAUUUUACAAGCAUGGGAGAAUUUGGUCCUUAUCGUUUGCACUCUUGCAUUUGUUUGGACCAGCGAUUGAUCGAAGGGGUAUGUAACCUAUUUGGUUAGGGAGGAUGGGUGCAGCUGUGCUGUACAUGUUCCAGCCAACAAGGUGUUAAAGUUUCAGGAUUAACCAUUUGUAUGCUCGCAUAUAUGGGUGCAGCUGUGUCUUUAUUGAGAGAAGAACAUUUGUAAUACAAGUUUCAUAUGUAUUUUGUAUAACAGAUUAGUUGCUCAGGUUUAUAGUACUACAAAUUCCCUUCCAUUAAUGCACCAAGCCAAUGUAUUACUUAUAACUAAAAGAAUCUAGACAAUAUUGUAUUGGAAGAAUGAAUUUAUAUUAACAGAAAAUGGUAUGGUUGUUAAA